rnacentral:rRNA from 1 species
AUUCCAGCUCCAAUAGCGUAUAUUAAAGUUGUUGCAGUUAAAAAGCUCGUAGUUGGAUUUCUGGGAGGGUGCCGAUGUCCACUUAACGUGUGCGCAGCGGCGCCCUCUCAUCCUUCUGUUAGCGUCUCUUGGCAUUCAUUUGCUGGUGGCGGGCUCAGAUAUUUUACCUUGAGAAAAUUAGAGUGUUUCAGGCAGGCUAGGCCGGAAUACAUUAGCAUGGAAUAAUGGAAUAGGACUACGGUCUCUUUGUUGGUUUGAGGGACUGCAGUAAUGAUUAAUAGGGAUAGUUGGGGGCAUUAGUACUUAACUGUCAGAGGUGGAAUUCUCAGAUUUGUUAAAGACUGACUUAUGCGAAAGCAUUUGCCAAGGAUGUUUUCAUUA